GGCCUAACACAUGCAAGUCGAACGGUUGUAGCAAUACAGCAGUGGCAGACGGGUGAGUAACACGUGGGAACCUUCCUAGGGGUACGGAACAACUCAGGGAAACUUGAGCUAAUACCGUAUACGUCCGUAAGGAGAAAGAUUCAUCGCCCCUAGACGGGCCCGCGUAGGAUUAGGUAGUUGGUGAGGUAACGGCUCACCAAGCCUACGAUCCUUAGCUGGUCUGAGAGGACGAUCAGCCACACUGGGACUGAGACACGGCCCAGACUCCUACGGGAGGCAGCAGUGGGGAAUAUUGGACAAUGGGGGCAACCCUGAUCCAGCCAUGCCGCGUGAGUGAUGAAGGCCUUCGGGUUGUAAAGCUCUUUUGGCGGGGACGAUGAUGACGGUACCCGCAGAAUAAGCCCCGGCUAACUUCGUGCCAGCAGCCGCGGUAAGACGAAGGGGGCUAGC
rnacentral:rRNA from 1 species